rnacentral:tRNA from 1 species
GAAGAGGUGGCCGAGUGGUUUAAGGCAGCGGUCUUGAAAACCGCCGAUGAGUAAAUCGUCCGAGAGUUCGAAUCUCUCCCUCUUCG